AUGGCACACAUGUACAAGGAGAUCCCAGAUGCUGCUCUUGAGACACAUAAGUUUGGAUCUAUACAUUACCUUCUAUCAGGCUUGCCAACCAUCAACUGGAUCCUCAGGCACACUCUCUUGCCAAAGUCAGGUGAUCACAAGAUAAUCAGAGGCCAUGCAAUAAACUUGCUUCACAUCUUUGAUGUCCCACAAAAGUUCAAAGUCAUGAGCCUAAUAGUUGAAACUAUCAAGAGGACAGCUGCAGAUCAAAAAAGGAGUUGUGGGUACGCCCCACAGAUCCAGGAGCUGAUCAACUCCAAGAUGGGCACUGGUACAUAUCUGCUGGACAAGGAGCACAUGCCUAUCUAUCCAGACUUCGAGGACAACACUGUGGUUAUGAAUGAGUAUGAACUAUCUUCUAUGCACGCACAAGCCAAGAAGGAGAAGGCAAAAGCUGAAAAGGCUGCAAGGAUGCCAACUACUGAAGAAGCAUCUUAG
rnacentral:rRNA from 1 species